rnacentral:rRNA from 1 species
GACGAACGCUGGCGGCGUGCUUAACACAUGCAAGUCGAACGGAAAGGCCCUGCUUUUGUGGGGUGCUCGAGUGGCGAACGGGCGAGUAACACGUGAGUAACCUGCCCUUGACUUUGGGAUAACUUCAGGAAACUGGGGCUAAUACCGGAUAGGAGCUCCUGCUGCAUGGUGGGGGUUGGAAAGUUUCGGCGGUUGGGGAUGGACUCGCGGCUUAUCAGCUUGUUGGUGGGGUAGUGGCUUACCAAGGCUUUGACGGGUAGCCGGCCUGAGAGGGUGACCGGCCACAUUGGGACUGAGAUACGGCCCAGACUCCUACGGGAGGCAGCAGUGGGGAAUAUUGCACAAUGGGCGGAAGCCUGAUGCAGCAACGCCGCGUGCGGGAUGAAGGCCUUCGGGUUGUAAACCGCUUUCGCCUGUGACGAAGCGUGAGUGACGGUAAUGGGUAAAGAAGCACCGGCUAACUACGUG